rnacentral:hammerhead_ribozyme from 1 species
ACCCAGCUGACGAGUCCCGAAUAAGACGAAACGCGCGUUAUGGGU